AUAGAUUUUGAGGUUGAGUAACAGGGCGGAGCUUUAAGAGCAAAGCGAGCCACGCUAGCAUAGCAACAUUUUUCAGCAGCAGGCUACGGUCCAACGACCCCCUAACGAAAACUCCAAAAUCCAAAACGUUGGUUUUUCUUCCUCUCCUUUCAGUCGAGUGACUUCGUACCUCUCCUUUUAGGCGAGCUACUUCGUUCCAAACCUUUCUCUAAUAAUAAGGUAAGCUUGAAAGCCGCCGCCCUUUAAAUUUAAAGGAGCGGGCGCAGUGAACUGUAAUUGUGCAAAUAUUGGAAGAUAUGGCCAAAGAAGGUGAUAGCCCUGUAGAUUUAUUUCCAUGGUUCGAUCUUUCCAAGUAAAAUGUAGUGUGUUCGAAUUCUGAUCUCUUUUACACAAGAAAGGGGGACCACCCUCUAAGCCUAAGUAUUCCUCAAUGACCGAUAGCGUACAAGUACCGUGAGGGAAAGGUGAAAAGAACCCUAUUUAGGGAGUGCAAUAGAGAAGAUGAGAUCCAAUGCAAAAAAUCAGUCGAAGGAGCGGAUCUUAGAAACAUUACUCUAUGUAAAGCGCACUCACUCAAUGGCGUACCUUUUGCAUGAUGGGUCAGCGAGGAAAUGGGAACAGCGGCUUAAGCCAUUAGGUGUAGGCGCUUUCCAGAGGUGGAAUCUUCUAGUUCUUCCUAUUUGACCCGAAACCGAUCGAUCUAGCCAUGAGCAGGUUGAAGAGAGCUCUAACAGGCCUUGGAGGACUGAACCCACGUAUGUUGCAAAAUAUGGGGAUUACUUGUGCCUAGUGGUGAAAGAUCAACCAAGAUCGGAUAUAGCUGGUUUUCCAUGAAAUCUAUUUCAGUGGAGCGUAUGAUGUCGAUGCCCCAAGUUAGUGCACUCAAUGGGCUAGGAUGGCCUCAUUUCGCCUUACCAACCAUAGGGAAACUCUGAAUAUAGGCCUAGAUUGUUUGUACCGACAAACUUUUUGGUUCUAAGAUCCAAAGUCGAGAGAGAAAUAGCCCAUAUAGUACAUUAAGCGCCCUAAGCAAUCACUUAGUGGAAAAGGAAGUGACCGACCAAUGACAACCAGGAGGUGGGCUUUGAAGCAGUAUUCUUUUGAAGAAAGCGUAAUAGCGCACUAGUCUAACUCCAUGGCACCAAAAAUGUAUCAGGGAUCAUACGAUUCACCAAAGCGAUGAGACCUUGUAAGCUGCUUUUUCAAGUGUCACUAGCGGAACGUUCUGUCAAUUAGGGAAGAUUUUUUGUGAUAAGACCUAGAGAUAUCAGAAGUGAGAAUGUUGACAUGAGUAACAAAAAAUCCUAUGAAAAACACAAUCGCCUGCCAGUGGAAUGUUUUCUGUAUUAGGUCAAUAUAUGCAGAGUGAGUCGGUCCCUUAGGAACCACCGAAGGAAUGCCGCCGUAUGGGUACACGAAAGUGAUAAAGUUGCUUUUACUACAGAACCAUGUCUGUGUGUUGGAGAGAAUUGGAUGAUCGUGCCGAGGGAUGCCCCUAUUCCCCUAACUCUUCUUUCCCUAAUAUGAACCUUGGGUCAUCAAAACCUUUCUGAGUCGGCCUGGCUCAGUUGCCCUACGUAACAGGCGCUUCAAAAGGCGAAACUCUCGGUCUUAGUUUGGCGACCUAUCUUCUGUAGGGGCCUUUAGUCUUUUGAUUAUAGUAGGGGUUACGAGAGAGAAGAGUGUACCCCGGCCAUAAUCAUGAGUAUGUUUAUAGUUGUGACUGUUGUCAUAUUGAAAAAGGUAGAAACUUCCAGGAGAAAACUUUGAAUUGAGAGGGUGAUCCUCCUUGUGAACUGACCAUACCCCAACCGAGAUGGGUGAAUAAGUAGAUUAUACUAGGGCACUUGACAGAACCAUGUCGAAGGAACUCGACAAAAUUACCCCGUCACUCUGAGAGAAGGGGUGCUAUCCUAUCUUUUGAUUAUUAAAGCGGCACAUACCAGGGGGUAGCGAUUGUUUAUUAAAAACACAGGACUCUGAUAUGUGGUAACACGAUUUAUAGAGUGUGACACCUGCACAGUGCUAGAAGGAAGAAAGGAGAAGUGUUUUAUGAUUUGAAUAGAAGCCCCCGUAAACGACGGCAGUAACUCUAACUAACCUAAGGUAGCAAAAUUCCUUGUCACAUAAGUAGCGACCUGCACGAAUGGUGUAACGACUGCCCCUUUGUCUCCGAUAAGGACACAGUGAAAUUGAAUUCUCCAUGAAGAUGCGUAGUACCAACGGCUAUAUGGUAAGACCCCGUGAACCUUAACUAUAGCUUCACUUUGACAACCUUAAUCAAAUGUGUAGGAUAGGUGGGAGGUGGUGAAACAUAACGACCGAUCCUCAAAGACAACUCUUUCAUCUCAGGAUGCCUAAUCGCCGCACCGAUCAUUCUGGGGGAGGCGAGACACUACGAGGUGGGUAGUUUAUAUGGGGCGGAUGCCUCUUAUAGAGUAUCGGAGGUGUGCGAAGGUAGGCUCAAGCUAAGAUUCUGCUCCUGAGUGUAAUUUUAUAGGACUGCCUGACUGUGAGACCGAUUGCCUGGCUAUGAGACCGACUGGGCAACAGAGACGAAAGUCGGCCAUAGUGAUUCUGGAGCCCCGUUGUGGAAGGGAUCUCGCUCAACGGAUCAAAGGUAUGCCCAAGAUAACAGGAUGAUUACUCCCAAGAGAUCUUAUCGAUGAAGUCUUUUGGCUCCUCCAUGUAGACUCAUCACAUCCUGGGGUUGAAGAAGGUCCCAAGUAUUCGAUUGUUCGCCAAUUCAAGUGGUAUGGGAGUUGGGUUUACAACGUCAUGAGAGAGUUCGGUUCCUAUCUACCGUUGGUGUUAAAGGGAGAACUGCGAGGAGCCAACCCUAGUACGAGAGGACUGGGUUGGGCUAACCUAUGGUGUACCGGUUGUUAUGCCAAUAGCAGCGCCGGGCAGCUAAGUUGGUAUAGAAGAUUUGUUGCACCGUGGGAAAUCCUUUUCUAUACAAGUUCUAGGAUGAGGUUUAUUAACAGAACUUUGAAAGGCGAGAGGUGUAAGCACUGCGAGGUGUGAAGAAAUCUCGUAUUAAACCAAAUGACUUUCAAUU
rnacentral:rRNA from 1 species